rnacentral:tRNA from 1 species
AUAGAAAUAUUUCCGUCUAUAAAAAUCAGAAACUAUAUACAGGUCCAAGAUUAUA